UCUUUUCUAGGUAGUAUUAGCAUUCCUAGUAACUUAUGUUUAUAUUUAAAAUUAUGUUUUGCAUAACAGUUUUGAUACGUAUUUUUAUCCAUGACAUAAUUCUGGAAAGAUCAUAAUUCUGAGAAAUCAGAAAACACUCAUACUUACAAGUGACUGUGAACCAAAUGCUAUUUAAGUCUAAAGCCCUGAUUCUUUCUACUACCUGGAGCUUCUUCAAAGGAAACUUGCAUUUCUGAUAGAUUCAUUCAAUGAACCCUAAGUGUCCAAGAGAAGCCAGAUACAACAUUAAAGAAUUAUUCAUGGAAUAAUUCAUGGAAUCUAUCUACCAUGAGCUAUUUCUAGUAUUAGAUAACUAUGUAAAUGAAAUUCCAACUUUGCACAAUGCUGCUAUAAUUUGAGAAUGUAGAAGGACAAAAGGAAUCAUCUCUACUGGAAGACAUAAAAGAGGUGCUACUUGAGCUAAGACAAGAUUGCUCAUGGUACAGAAACAUGGAAAAAAAUAGCAAUGGGUUGUGUCCUGAGUUAAAUGAAAAGUUGUGGAAGAUUCAGCUUGGAAGUAGAGAAGAAGAAGCUGAUUGUGAUAAUGAAGAUAGUGGUGGUGGUGAUGAAGAUGUUAACUGAGAUUAACUAUGUGCCAGCACUGUUCUAAGCCUUUUGUAUGUUGUCUUUUAAUCUUCAUACCACCAUAAAGUAUGGCAUAUUGUUAUUUUUUCAUUUACAAAUAAAGAAACUGAGGCAAAACUGAGAUAAU